rnacentral:lncRNA from 1 species
AUGGCUCCAAGAUGGUUUUGUUUUGUUUUCCUUCAUGAAGGAAAAGAGAAGUUGAUGACCAAGUAUUUUUGUGACUGCAAAACACUGAACUAUCAUUACCCAUUGGUUAGAAAGGGCGUAUCUGCGCUGUGCACCUGGCAGCGUUCAAGGAAGCUGGCCGUUUCCCCUUUGAGCUGCCUUCCCCUGGGGCUGAGACUCUCCCGGGGCCUGAUUCCUGUCAUUCUGACAAUGUCCCACUCCGAUUUGGCAGCUGGGAUUCCUGUAAAGGGGCUCCAUCGUAUGAGGUCCCAUGAUCUGGUCUUGUUUGUUCAAAAAGAAAAACAAAAGGAAAAGAAACUCCCUUUGCAGAAGAAAAUCACGACGAGGCACAGACUCCAGAAGCCCUCGGCACAGCAGACACUUCCGUCUCCAUUUAGAGGCACAGAGACCAGGCGUCUUUCCUCCCUCUGCCUUGCUUAUGCUUGCCGGUGGCUGGAAUACAGUUCCUGGAAGCUGCGAUGAUGGGGGGGUGGGGGGAGAAAUCCUCAGGAUCUGAAUACCUGCCCCCGUGAGCCUUCUCCUGAUUGCUUUUCUGAUGAUAACGUCAUCGCAGUAUCAGUGUGUUUUAAUGGGGACAGUUGUCUUCGCAUUGUUUGUCUGCAUCACAAAUCCGAAGGGGAAACACAGGAACGGAAAGGCCCGUGUCUUCACGAUGUGCCUGGAGGCACAACCAAGGGGUGCAUUCUCUUCAGAUGCUUUCUGAUUUUUGCUCCAGGACUUUCAGAGUACAAAUAGGAUGCCUCCUUUUUCUUGGCCAAGGGCUGCUGGUGGGACCCCUCCGUGGGCUGGUUUUAUGGAUUCAAAAGGCGACUCUGGGCUUGGAUGUAUUGACACAUUAGUCUUUAAAGAAUUUAGUCUUUGGUACUAAAGAAUAAUGUAAUGCAGGUUUAAUUAAAGUGGAAGCUUAAAGCUGAUGUUAAUUUAGUGGUACAGCCAUCUCUCAGUCAUCCUGGACGUUGAAAGAGGCUGUGGUCUGGAUAAUCUGAAUUAAUGGAUAGCCCAGAAUACAUGAUAUUUCCUCCCCUAAAUUCAUCAGGAUUGCUGUUCUAAUUUUCCUACUGGGGGCUACUGCUGAAGUCAUCAUGAGAGUUGAUUUUGAGGAAAGCAAGACCCUGGCCUGGAGAAGAGAGGCCGUGGCCUUUGAGGCAUGCAUUCAGCACCUCACCGCCUCAGCUUUCUGAAACGUCGCAAAUAAUUGGGAGGAAGGUACCACUCACCGUAACAUAGAUGAGGAAACAGACACAGAGUUGAAAGACUGUUCAAGGUCAUUGACCAGAAAUUAGUAGAACAAAUGGUUCUAUGUCUCUCAGUCCAACUCACGUGUUGAGCAGAAGGAAAAAAACCCCUGUUUUCAGGUAAACACAAAUUGUAAUGUUUUUUUUAACCUGUGAGAAAAUGGUGCAGAUUCUCUUCU